GGAGCCUUGGCGCAGUGGUAAAGCUGCUGCCUUGUGACCAGGAGGUCGUGGGUUCGAGUCAUGAAAACAGCCUCUU
rnacentral:tRNA from 7 species